AUUGAACGCUGGCGGCAGGCAUAACACAUGCAAGUCGAACGAGUGGCGGACGGGUGAGUAAUGUCUGGGACACUGCCCGAUGGAGGGGGAUAACUACUGGAAACGGUAGCUAAUACCGCAUACAAUCGGAUGUGCCCAGAUGGGAUUAGCUAGUAGGUGGGGUAAAGGCUCACCUGGGCGACGAUCCCUAGCUGGUCUGAGAGGAUGACCAGCCCCACUGGAACGGAGACACGGUCCAGACUCCUACGGGAGGCAGCAGUGGUGAAUAUUGCACGAUGGGCGCAAGCCUGAUGCAGCCAUGCCGCUUGUAUGAAGAAGGCCUUCGGGUUGUAAAGUACUUUCAGCGAGGAUGCGUUACUCGCAGAAGAAGCACCGGCUAACUCCGUGCCAGCCGCCGCGGUAAUUC
rnacentral:rRNA from 1 species